AAGGGAACGCUGGCUCAGCCAGCAUCCUCCAACCCAGUGUGUACCCGCCUUGUUGCCUCGGCGUGCCUGCGCCGGCCACGGCGCCGCCGGCUCCGGCUGGAUAGCGCACGCCAGAGGAACCUUAAACUCCAGCUUAACGAGUGUCGUCCGAGCCUAAUUAAAUAUGUUA
rnacentral:misc_RNA from 1 species